CCUACGGGGGGCAGCAGUGGGGAAUAUUGCACAAUGGGGGAAACCCUGAUGCAGCGACGCCGCGUGAGUGAAGAAGUAAUUCGUUAUGUAAAGCCCUAUCAGCAGGGAAGAAAAUGACGGUACCUGAGUAAGAAGCCCCGGCUAACUACGUGCCAGCAGCCGCGGUAAUACGUAGGGGGCAAGCGUUAUCCGGAUUUACUGGGUGUAAAGGGAGCGUCGACGGCAUUGGAAGUCUGGAGUGAAAGGCGGGGGCUCAACCCCCGGACUGGUAUGGAAACUGUACGGCUGGAGUGCAGGAGAGGUAAGUUGAAAUCCUAGGGUAGCGGUGAAAUGCGUAGAUAAUAGGAGGAACACCAGUGGCGAAGGCGGCUUACUGGACUGUAACUGACGUUGAGGGUCGAAAGCGUGGGGAGCAAACAGGAUUAGAUACCCGUGUAGUC
rnacentral:rRNA from 1 species